UUCCUUUUAACAGUUACCAUAUUUGCUCUUUUUAUUAUUUAAUCUUUUUGUUAGAGAAGUAAGCCAUCCGAACACCAUCAAAAGAAAGAAAAGACAAAACAGAGAGAGAUCGCGAGGGAGAGUGCUCAGUUCUUCACCUAUCGACGGUGCCGAAGUUCUAGAUGCCGCGCACCAAGCAACAGGCUGCCAGACUUCCCAUCGAUCCAGUGCCGCAACUGUCGCAUCCCGACUCGCCAUCGUCAUCUGAGUUGCAAACCAAUUCCAGCGACACAAAUGCGGUGGCUCUCUAUUGCCAGAUACCGCGCUCACAUCUUCCCAUAUCGACAAUGUGCGUCUCACCAACCACCUCGCCACCACUGCCCGUCUCAGGCAACAGAAGCCCAAACCAGUUUCGACUCUUCCUUCUUUAUGGAGACAAACCCAUUCCCAAACCCAAAGGAAUACGGCACUCACGGUUACUACCCCAGCACAAAGAAAAUGGGCCUGCGACUCGAUUUGGUGGAUGAGUUGGAUUCUGAUGAGAUUCCACCCCCACCACCGACUUAGCACAGAUUAUGCUAAAUUCAUUUGGAAAAGAGCUUUAGAGGCCAAUUCUUGGAGUUUUGAAGAAGUUUACCAAGCUAGAGCUAAACUUCUAGGAUGCUCCUAGAAGUUUUCAAGUUAGGCUUGGGCCACUUCAGUGGGGGACACAAGAUUAUGCUAAAUUCAUUUGGAAAAGAGCUUUAGACGCCAAUUCUUGGAGUUUUGAAGAAGUUUACCAAGCUAAAGCUAAACUUCUAGGAUGCUCCUGGAAGUUUUCAAGUUAGACUUAGGCAACCUCAGUGGGGGACACAUCCAAAGCAGGUCCAAAACCCCUUGGAAGUUUCCAAGUUAAGCUUGGGCAAACUUAGUGGGAGGCGUAUCUAGAGCUGAUUGGGAUUGAAAUGCUUUGCUGGGUAGAAGGAAAUCAUUUAAAACAACUAUUCCACUAUUUAGGGGAUUAGGAAAGAUACUCAAAUUUGAAUAUUAGAUUUUCUUUUAAUUAUUGGAUUUUCUAAAGAUACUUAUGUUUUAUUUUCCUAGUUCAGGAUUUCCUUCCUUUGUUAUAAAUAGGACCUUAAGUUUAUUGAGGAGAUCAUCUUCUUCUCAUCUUAGAAAAAGCAGUUAUUUUAGGAUUUACUUUUCUUUGUGUUUUCUUCGUGGCCAUGAGUGGCUAAAUAUUUUAAUUCAAUCAAAGGUUGAUUUCAAGUAGAAAUUCCUCAA